rnacentral:rRNA from 1 species
GAUGAACGCUAGCUACAGGCUUAACACAUGCAAGUCGAGGGGAAACGAUAUUGGAAGCUUGCUUCCGAUAGGCGUCGACCGGCGCACGGGUGAGUAACGCGUAUCCAACCUGCCCACCACUUGGGAAUAACCUUGCGAAAGUAAGACUAAUGCCCAAUGAUAUCUCUAGAAGACAUCUGAAAGAGAUUAAAGAUUUAUCGGUGAUGGAUGGGGAUGCGUCUGAUUAGCUUGUUGGCGGGGUAACGGCCCACCAAGGCGACGAUCAGUAGGAGUUCUGAGAGGAGGGUCCCCCAAAUUGGAACUGAGACACGGUCCAAACUCCUACGGGAGGCAGCAGUGAGGAAUAUUGGUCAAUGGACGAGAGUCUGGACCAGCCAAGUAGCGUGCAGGAUGACGGCCCUAUGGGUUGUAAACUGCUUUUAUAAGGGAAUAAAGUGAGUCUCGUGAGACUUUUUGCAUGUACCUUAUGAAUAAGGACCGGCUAAUUCCGUGCCAGCCGCCGCAGUAA